UACGGAGGGUGCAAGCGUUAUCCGGAAUCAUUGGGUUUAAAGGGUCCGCAGGCGGAUUUAUAAGUCAGUGGUGAAAGCCUACAGCUUAACUGUAGAACUGCCAUUGAUACUGUAAGUCUUGAAUUUGGUCGAAGUGGGCGGAAUAUGACAUGUAGCGGUGAAAUGCAUAGAUAUGUCAUAGAACACCGAUAGCGAAGGCAGCUCACUAGGCCAACAUUGACGCUCAUGGACGAAAGCGUGGGGAGCAAACAGGAUUAGAUACCCUGGUAGUCCACGCCGUAAACUAUCAAUACUCGUUUUCAGCGAUAUACUGUUGGAGACUAAGCGAAAGUGAUAAGUAUUGCACCUGGGGAGUACGAUCGCAAGGUUGAA
rnacentral:rRNA from 1 species